rnacentral:piRNA from 1 species
UGGCUGCAUUUUCCGUUGCUUUGGGAA